AGCGAACGCUGGCGGCAGGCUUAACACAUGCAAGUCGAGCGGGCAUCUUCGGAUGUCAGCGGCAGACGGGUGAGUAACACGUGGGAACGUACCCUUCGGUUCGGAACAACUCUGGGAAACUGGAGCUAAUACCGGAUACGCCCUUAUGGGGAAAGGUUUACUGCCGAAGGAUCGGCCCGCGUCUGAUUAGCUAGUUGGUGGGGUAACGGCCUACCAAGGCGACGAUCAGUAGCUGGUCUGAGAGGAUGAUCAGCCACACUGGGACUGAGACACGGCCCAGACUCCUACGGGAGGCAGCAGUGUGGAAUAUUGGACAAUGGGCGCAAGCCUGAUCCAGCCAUGCCGCGUGAGUGAUGAAGGCCUUAGGGUUGUAAAGCUCUUUUGUCCGGGACGAUAAUGACGGUACCGGAAGAAUAAGCCCCGGCUAACUUCGCG
rnacentral:rRNA from 1 species